CUACGGGAUGCAGCAGUGGGGAAUAUUGCACAAUGGGCGCAAGCCUGAUGCAGCAACGCCGUGUGAGUGAAGAAGGCCUUCGGGUUGUAAAACUCUGUCCUAAGGGAAGAAACAAAUGACGGUACCUUAGGAGGAAGCCCCGGCUAACUACGUGCCAGCAGCCGCGGUAAUACGUAGGGGGCAAGCGUUAUCCGGAAUCACUGGGCGUAAAGGGUGCGUAGGCGGCCUGGCAAGUCAGAGGUGAAAGGCAUUGGCUCAACCAAUGUAAGCCUUUGAAACUGUUGGGCUUGAGUGCAGGAGAGGUAAGUGGAAUUCCUAGUGUAGAGGUGAAAUUCGUAGAUAUUAGGAGGAACACCAGUGGCGAAGGCGACUUACUGGACUGUAACUGACGCUGGGGCACGAAAGCGUGGGGAGCGAACAGGAUUAGAUACCCCCGUAGUC
rnacentral:rRNA from 1 species